CAGCCAACCCCUGGGAAGGCCUGGGGCAGCCUGAUGAGCAUUUUCAUUAACAGCCGGAAUAAGGACAUGGAAGGCCAGCUUAUCAAAUUUGAGUCUGACAUGAAUUUGAAAGGAAGGAUAAAUGAAUCAAAUGAAAGUCUGAUCCAAAAAUCUUUCAACAGAGUUCAUUAGGGAGUGCUCUCAGGAACCGCACCUGUGAGGGACCGGAGCGAGCGUGCUUGGGCAGAGGCAGAACUGUGCUUGCUGCAGUUGCGGGGACAGUCUCAGCAAAGCCCCUGCUGCUGGUAGGGCCUUCAGAGUUCCUGGAUGGGGGAUGGACCUCUGUACUCCAUAUCAACCAACCAGCGGAUGUGGGCUGCUCCCAGAGAGGAGGCACGCUACUGGGAACAUAACAUCGUUAAAAGGUCAUUGACUUAGGGCCCAUGCUACACCCUGGAGGAUGUCCCAUGCUCACAGGCAUCAUCUCUAAACUGGUGCCUCAGCUGCACUUUCAAAGGC